GAAAGUAAGCAAGGGCGCAUGGCGGAUGCCUUGGCUCUCGGAGGCGAUGAAGGACGUGAUAAGCUGCGAUAAGCUUCGGGUAGGUGCAAAUAACCUUUGAUCCGAAGAUUUCCGAAUGGGACAACCCGGCAUUCUGAAGGAAUGUCAUCCAUCCUGGAUGGAAGCUAACGCAGGGAACUGAAACAUCUUAGUACCUGUAGGAAAAGAAAAUAAUAAUGAUUCCCCAAGUAGUGGCGAGCGAACGGGGAUUAGCCCAAACCAAUGUUGUUACGGCAAUAUUGGGGUUGUAGGACCACGAUGUCGCAAGAACUUUAGUGAGAAGAAUUCUUUGGAAAAUGAAACCAUAGACGGUGAUAGUCCGGUAUUCGAAGCUAAACGAAGCGUAGUGGUAUCCUGAGUAGCGCGGGACACGAGGAAUCUUGCGUGAAUCUGCCGGGACCAUCCGGUAAGGCUAAAUACUCCCGAGAGACCGAUAGCGAACCAGUACUGUGAAGGAAAGGUGAAAAGCACUUCGAAUAGAAGAGUGAAAUAGUCCCUGAAACCGUGCGCCUACAAGCGGUCGGAGCAGCGUAAGUUGUGACGGCGUGCCUUUUGCAUAAUGAACCUACGAGUUACUUUUUCCGGCAAGGUUAAGCAUUUCAAAAUGUGUAGCCGAAGCGAAAGCGAGUCUGAACAGGGCGAUUAGUCGGAAGGAGUAGACGCGAAACCAAGUGAUCUACCCUUGGUCAGGUUGAAGGUUAGGUAACACUAACUGGAGGACCGAACCGAUAAGCGUUGAAAAGCUUCCGGAUGAACUGAGGGUGGGGGUGAAAGGCUAAUCAAACUUGGAGAUAGCUCGUACUCCCCGAAAUGCAUUUAGGUGCAGCCUUGGGAAUUACUACUGUGAGGUAGAGCGACUGAUAAGAUGCGAGGGCUUCACCGCCUAUCAAGUCUUGAUAAACUCCGAAUGCGCAGUAGUUCGAUCCCAGGAGUGAGGGCAUGGGUGCUAAGGUCCAUGUCCUAAAGGAGAAGAAUCCGGACCAUCAGCUAAGGUCCCGAAAUAAUUGCUAAGUUGAACUAACGAAGUCAGAUUGCUAAGACAGCUAGGAUGUUGGCUUGGAAGCAGCCAUUCAUUUAAAGAGUGCGUAACAGCUCACUAGUCGAGGAGUUUGGCGUGGAUAAUAAUCGGGCAUUAAGCAAUUUACCGAAGCUAUGGGAUCAGUAAUGAUCGGUAGGGGAGCAUUCCACUCUGCGUCGAAGGUGAAGCGUGAGCUUUGCUGGAGCGUGUGGAAAAGCAAAUGUAGGUAUAAGUAACGAUAAAGGGGGUGAGAACCCCCCUCGCCGAAAGACUAAGGUUUCCUGAUCAACGCUAAUCGGAUCAGGGUUAGUCGGGUCCUAAGGCUCAGCCGAACGGUGAGGCCGAUGGCAGAACAGGUUAAUAUUCCUGUACUACCUUAAGGAGUGACGUGGAGACGGAGGCGUGAUAGCGCCGCGGACUGACGGAAUAGUCCGUUGAAGGGUGUAGAUGUUGAUUAUCCCAGGCAAAUCCGGGAUAAGAGUCGAACCUGAUAGUAUACCAAAUUCUUCGGAAUAAGGUAAUAGUGCGUGUAAGCAUACUCCCAAGAAAAUCCGCUAAACUUAAUCUUUAAGGUACCCGUACCGCAAACGGACACACGUAGUCGGGUUGAAUAUACUAAGGCGCUUGAGUGAUUCACGGUUAAGGAACUAGGCAAAUUGACCCUGUAACUUCGGGAUAAAGGGUCCCAACGAGAGUUGGGCGCAGAGAAUAGGUCCAGGCAACUGUUUAACAAAAACACAGGGCUGUGCCAAAUUGAAAGAUUACGUAUACAGCCUGACACCUGCCCGGUGCUGGAAGGUUAAGAGGAGAUGUCAUCGCAAGAGAAGCAUUGAAUUGAAGCCCCAGUAAACGGCGGCCGUAACUAUAACGGUCCUAAGGUAGCGAAAUUCCUUGUCGGGUAAGUUCCGACCUGCACGAAUGGUGUAAUGAUCUGGACACUGUCUCAACCGUGAGCUCAGUGAAAUUGUAGUAUCGGUGAAGAUGCCGAUUACCCGCGAUGGGACGAAAAGACCCCGUGAACCUUUACUAUAGCUUAACAUUGAAUUUGGGUAAUUGAUGUGUAGGAUAGGCCGGAGACUUUGAAUCAGGUACGCCAGUAUUUGUGGAGUCGCUGUUGAAAUACGGCCCUUUGAUUAUUUGAGUUCUAACUCGUUGAUGCGAGGACACUGUUUGGUGGGUAGUUUGACUGGGGUGGUCGCCUCCAAAAGUGUAACGGAGGCUUCUAAAGGUGCCCUCAGGACGAUUGGUAACCGUCCGUAGAGUGUAAUGGCAUAAGGGCGCUUGACUGGGAGACAGACAAGUCGAUCAGGUAGGAAACUAGAGCAUAGUGAUCCGGUGUUUCCGCAUGGAAGGGACAUCGCUCAAAGGAUAAAAGGUACUCCGGGGAUAACAGGCUGAUCCCUCCCAAGAGCUCAUAUCGACGGAGGGGUUUGGCACCUCGAUGUCGGCUCGUCACAUCCUGGGGCUGGAGAAGGUCCCAAGGGUUGGGCUGUUCGCCCAUUAAAGUGGCACGCGAGCUGGGUUCAGAACGUCGUGAGACAGUUCGGUCUCUAUCUAUCGUGGGCGUAUGAAAUUUGCGUGGCUCUGACACUAGUACGAGAGGACCGUGUUGGACUGACCGCUGGUUUACCAGUUGUGCCGCCAGGUGCAUCGCUGGGUAUCUAAGUCGGGAUUGGAUAAGUGCUGAAAGCAUCUAAGUACGAAGCCAGCCACAAGAUUAGAUUUCUUAGGGUCGU
rnacentral:rRNA from 1 species